UAAAAUGCGUUGAAGGAGAGAGUACCUUUGAUGAUGGUAACAGCGAGCUGGGAUUUGGUGGGAGCCCAGUACCUAAUCAAUAGGGAAGCGCACUCCGGAGCACCAGGCCGAAAUCCUGAUGAUGUUCAAAAGUCAUUUGAGUCAGAGAGAGUAGGUUUUGGCGGGCUAACCGUUACUAGACUAGAUAGACCAAAGGGAAUCGGAUAAUAUCCGAUUAACUAGGGUGGUACCGCGGGUGAAACCCGUCCCUAAU
rnacentral:ncRNA from 1 species